GAUGAACGCUGGCGGCGUGCCUAAUACAUGCAAGUCGAGCGAACGGACGAGAAGCUUGCUUUUCUGAUGUUAGCGGCGGACGGGUGAGUAACACGUGGAUAACCUACCUAUAAGACUGGGAUAGCUUCGGGAAACCGGAGCUAAUACCGGAUAAUAUUUUGAACCGCAUGGUUCAAAAGUGAAAGACGGUCUUGCCGUCACUUAUAGAUGGAUCCGCGCUGCAUUAGCUAGUUGGUAAGGUAACGGCUUACCAAGGCAACGAUGCAUAGCCGACCUGAGAGGGUGAUCGGCCACACUGGAACUGAGACACGGUCCAGACUCCUACGGGAGGCAGCAGUAGGGAAUCUUCCGCAAUGGGCGAAAGCCUGACGGAGCAACGCCGCGUGAGUGAUGAAGGUCUUCGGAUCGUAAAACUCUGUUAUUAGGGAAGAACAUAUGUGUAAGUAACUGUGCACAUCUUGACGGUACCUAAUCAGAAAGCCACGGCUAACUACGUG
rnacentral:rRNA from 1 species